AGUAACGCGUAGGAAUAUGCCUUGAAGUGGGGGACAACUUGGGGAAACUCAAGCUAAUACCGCAUAUACUCUUUGGAGGAAAGCUGGGGACCAUUUAUGGCCUGGCGCUUUAAGAUUAGCCUGCGUACGAUUAGCUAGUUGGUAGGGUAAAGGCCUACCAAGGCGACGAUCGUUAGCUGGUCUGAGAGGAUGACCAGCCACACUGGAACUGAGACACGGUCCAG
rnacentral:rRNA from 1 species